CCAGACUCCUACGGGAGGCAGCAGUGAGGAAUAUUGGUCAAUGGACGAGAGUCUGAACCAGCCAAGUAGCGUGCAGGAUGACGGCCCUAUGGGUUGUAAACUGCUUUUAUAAGGGAAUAAAGUGAGUCUCGUGAGGCUUUUUGCAUGUACCUUAUGAAUAAGGACCGGCUAAUUCCGUGC
rnacentral:rRNA from 1 species